rfam:Cryptococcus amylolentus CBS 6039 supercont1.15, whole genome shotgun sequence.
AAGGAAUUAGGUUAGAGGUUAGACUUCCAUUUUUACACAGUGGCUACAGUGGUUCGAUUCCACUAUUCCUUA